rfam:Ictidomys tridecemlineatus contig105423, whole genome shotgun sequence.
CGGGCUGGGGCUCAGUGGUAGAGCACUUGCCUAGCACGCUUGAGGCACUGGGUUCAAUCCCCAGCAUUACAU